rfam:Schistosoma margrebowiei strain Zambia genome assembly, scaffold: SMRZ_scaffold0000001
AUCCAGUUGAUGAGUCUCAAAAAUAGGACGAAACACGCGUCAUGUAU